rnacentral:tRNA from 1 species
ACCCAGCUGGCUCAGUCAGAACGUGUGGCUCUUGAUCUCUGGGUUGUGGGUUCGAGCCCCACGUUGGGUG